rnacentral:rRNA from 1 species
GCAGCAUGGGCGAAUCUUUGGCAAUGGAGUGCCGCGUGACCGAACAACGCCUUCUGAGUGAAAAAUGUUUUCGGAGGGGAGGAAGGUGUUGUUGUAAAGAACUGAAGGACGUUAGUAACUGAACGUCCCCUGACGGUAUCUAACCAGAAAGCCACGGCUAACUACGUGCCAGAGGCCGCGGUAAUACGUAGGUGGCAAGCGUUGUCCGGAUUUAUUGGGCGUAAAGCGAGCGCAAAUGUAGUUUCUUAAGUCUGAUGUGAAAGCACCCCGGCUCAACCGGGGAGGGUCAUGUGUAAACUGGCAGACUUGAGUGCUCAACAGGAGAGUGGAAUUCCAUGUGUAUCGAUGAAAUGCCUAGAUAUAUGGAGGAACACCCGUGUUGAAUUCGGCUCUCUGGUCUGUAACUGACGCUGAGGCUCUAAAGACAUGAUGAGCAGACAGGACUAGAAUACCCUGGUAGUCCACUCCGUAGACGAUGACUGCUAGCUGUUGUAUGGGUUUCCGCCCUUCUGUGCUGCACCAUACGGCAUUAAAGCACUCCCCCUGUAGAUACGACAGCAAUUGCAUGAUACUCUAGGGAAUUAGACUGGCAGCACCGUCACUGAGACGUCGGAGGCAUGCUGGUAUAAUUCG